rnacentral:rRNA from 1 species
UUCGGGGUGCCGACGAGUGGCGAACGGGUGAGUAACGCGUGGAUACAUGUCCUAUGGUGGGGAAUAACGUUUAGAAAUGAACGCUAAUACCGCAUAAGCCCUACGGGGGAAAGAUUUAUCGCCAUAGGAGUGGUCUGCGUCGGAUUAGCUUGUUGGUGGGGUAAUGGCCUACCAAGGCGACGAUCCGUAGCUGGUCUGAGAGGAUGAUCAGCCACACUGGGACUGAGACACGGCCCAGACUCCUACGGGAGGCAGCAGUGGGGAAUAUUGCGCAAUGGGGGAAACCCUGACGCAGCGACGCCGCGUGGGUGAAGAAGGCCUUAGGGUUGUAAAGCCCUUUCAGCAGGAAAGAUAGUGACGGUACCUGCAGAAGAAGCUCCGGCUAACUCCGUGCCAGCAGCCGCGGUAAUACGGAGGGGGCUAGCGUUGUUCGGAAUUACUGGGCGUAAAGGGCGCGUAGGCGGUUUUGCAAG